AGUGCCACUGCCUUCUGUUGGUCCUUUUGAUUGCACCAACACAUCCAGCCAGGUUGAAGCCCAGCAUCAGUGGGUUCCUCUGCUGACACCUUCCUGGAAUACAGGUUGCUCUUAGGGAAGCAAGGAGAGAGAGGUUUUAGGAUUGCAGCUGGAGGUUUGUCUGUAGCCAGUGACUUCAAGAGGUGGAAUCUGCUACUGAAAGUGAAAUAUUUAUCAAACUCAAAAAGCUGUUGCAUCCACCUGCUCUGAUCUUCCAGCUAACACAAGCCUUGGAGCUUUCUUAAUUCCAGUCUGAAGGCAAGCAUAUUUUUAGGGCAUAAUAAUUAUCUCUUUUUUUUUUUUUUUAGAAAGAACUGAGUGAUAGAGAAGCUACCAUAAAGCCUGAGAGCCUAUUCUAGUAUCUCACAGCAUGUACAAUUAAAACCUUGCACCUUUUUGUUUUUAUUCUAUAUUUGUCUACCUGUGGUCUGCUUCUCCCCGUUACACUGAAUACCUCUGUAUCUCUUACCUUGUUCUGUAUGGCUGGUAUUUAUAGAUAAAUAUACAUUACAUAAACAUGUAACAAACUGGAAUUUGAUUGAGAUAAAGAACUUGUGACAUAUUUUCCAUUCUUUUGGCAGUUCUUAGAGCUCUCCUCUAAACAUUGUCUUGCCUGUUAGCCUCUCUUAACCUCUUUCCACAAUUGUGGCCAUUAGAAUUAGUCUAGGUUCUCUAAUACCACUUAUGUCCCUUAAAAAUGCAGAGGCAAAAGAACACUUCUGACACUUCCCUGUACUCCUCCAUUGCUCCGGAUCUCCAAAAGAGAUUCUGUACUGCCUAGCUGGUGGUCCAAGGUUAUGCCUGUUUUCUCAUCAAAGCUGCUCCCUCCUGGAGGAGAAGCCCUUAGCCUGUGGGUCCAGCCUACAGCCUUUGUUUCCAGAUGCUGAACUGCAUGGUUUUUUUCUUCUUUAUGUUGAGUUUCACAAAUAUCUCAAGUGUUCAACCCUGGGAGCCUCUCCACAGAGUUAUUCCCACUUUCUGUUCAAUACUUGCAUACUUGAAUCAGUAUCAUUUUAUACCUCCGUUUCAUUCAUUAAAAUGUUGCAGAAUGAAUACAUGCAAGAACCCAUUAGAAACCUCUCUGUUUUAUAAUGAUUUCUUUCUCAUACAAUCUAGGCUCAUAUUUUUGAAUAUGGCAUUGAUUCUUCUUUCUGCUUUCUUUUUUACCAUGUCAAAUUCUUUAUAUAUGCAAUAUGUACCUGAAUUUAUUAUAUCAGUGCUGUUAUUUUAACACUCAAACUUGUAAUGUAAUGAUAAUGACAUUAGAACUUGAGGUACUGGAACAGGAUUCGCAGGGAGGUGGUGGAGUCACCAUCACUGGCGGUGUUCAAAAAACGUGUAGGUGUGGCACUGAGAGAUGUGGUUAGUGGGGAUGGGUUGAUGGUUGGACUAGGUGAUCUUAAAGGUCUUUUCCAACCUUAAUGAUUCUAUGAAAAUGUGAUUAUACUUAUUGGGCAAAACUGGUUUUCUGUAAAUCCACGUUAAGUGGCACUACUAAUCUCAUCUACUGUGUAUUUCCUACAGUCGUCUUUCCUCUUGCUUAUUCAAUUAUAUUGACUAUGAUUGUCGCCUCAGUGAUGAUCUGAUAUUUAUUUUAACUUCCUUUAAAAAGUCUUUGCACAAUGUUAGGUCUUUUCCCAACCUUUAGCACUUCUCAAAUAUUCAAUAAGAUUUUGAAAAUUGACAUAGUUUGAUUUGUAGAACUCCUUGAGAAACUCUUUGAUACGUGGGUGCAAUUUACAGGAUUAGAUUUUUUUAAAUGUUUUUGUUUUGAUUUAAUUACUCAUUUUCCUCCUCAGUUAUAGGUCAAAUAAAAGGCAUCUUAGUAGUCUCCGAUUUAACUAAACCAUCUGGCUUUUUUGCAAAUUGAAACUUAGCAAGGAACUUUUGAGCAAUGACUUCCAAUAAAAAGAUGAAAAAAAAACAUUCUAAAACCAACUUAGAAAACAUCUGUAAUCAAAUAAACUUAUCUGAUUAGAAGACACAAACAGAAUAUUCAGAUAAUGCCACAGAGUGAUAAUGAAUCUCCAGAAGUCCUGUACUGCCAAAGUCAUGUGCUUGAAAUCUGCUCAUAUUUUCUUAAAGAGACGUAAGCACAGCCUUAUAUAAGGAAUUUCUUCACUGGGUUAGUGGAAGUGCCCAACUCGUUUAAUGACUGGUGAGGUUCAAGACAGGGGGACUCCUUGCCCUGCGGUGUGAGGGCUGGGAAAGUGCCGAAGGAAGGGAACAGGGCAAAGGGCUGAACUUUGUUUUAGGAGCUGCACAAGGGACAGGCAUGAGAAGAGCUUAGGAAAUACCUUCAUGUCAUGCCUGGCUUCCCACUGAGAAGCGCUUGACAUGAACAGCCAGGCUUGCAAGAGGAGGUGAGCACUGAGAAGCCCUCAGGGCGCUCUGUGGCCUGUAGCUCCUGGGAUCAGCAAAUGGGAACUGCCUCUAUUGCCACACAACCCCGGUGGUAAGUGAAUAUCUCUAGAGAUGAAAUCAUCUGGCAAAGGGGCAGACUUCUCCCUGAAGAGGGAAACUCACUGACGUAACUUUGGUGAGUAACUUUCCAUCCUUAGGGGAGGCAGGGAUGCUCCACAGAAGCUCUUCUCCAGGGCACAGUGGUCUCUUCUGAGAUCUCUCCCUGCAUUCCCAGGGUGGACAUUGGCAAUGUCCUGCCUGCAGGAGCAGAGAUGCCUGUUCAAGACUGCUUAACCUAUCUGGCACUGCAUUUCAGCAGCCCCACAGCUAGAGGCCAUGCUGGGAGCUGGAUUGCUACAAUGGUCUGACAGUGGAGAAUUCUUUGGGCUUCAUCAGUGCCUUUCAAGUAUGGGGAAGCUUCUUAGGAAGAAUUGUGAGGCUCUCAUAAGCUAAAUUCUCCUUUGGAAGGAAUCUUAAUUAUGAACUUCCCCUUUGCUGUUGGGAUUCACUUUACCAGUAAUGCUCCUUUUCUGUAAGCUGAGCAGAUGUGUGGCUACUUACAGCAAACAAAAUCACCUGGUUAGAUGCCUGAAAGUGUCAUCCACAUGUUGCAGUAGAAUCAGGUAGUUGCUGAAGCCUCCAACUCAGCUGGAUCAGCCCUGCCAGCACGAGGAACACCACAGAGCAGGCCAUCAACACGGCCAAGCCUCCUGCUGCCAUCCCCGGUGGUGAGACAGAGCAUCCUGUAUGGCUCUUGCCUCUAUGGCAUUUCCUCUGCUUCCCCACCUAGAUCAGGCAUUAAUGGAGAGAACUUACAGCCUUGUUUUCCAGGAUGGUUUUGUGUUUUCUUCCUAGUAAUAGCACACUGGUGGAAUAGAACCUCUGCAGCCUAAGGUAAAUUUGCUUUUGUAACAAAAAUGGUUUUACAGAGACACUCAGAAAUCAGGAAAUUGACUCCUGUCAAUCAGCUCUUUCCCCUUCUUGCCUUGGAUAACGUUUGAACAUAUUGACCAAUUCCACCCAUAUCUGACAAAGAUAUGGGAUUAUAAGCUCCUCCUGAAUUUGUCAGAAUAGAUGCUGUGAGGAAGCAUGCCAGGUUUGACGGAGACUGCAGCAUAUGCCCAACCCUUGUUAGCCACCAGAGUCCACACCGAUGCUUACCUUCAGGACACAAACCCCUCAGGGCAUCAGGUUUCCAUGCAGCUCGUAAUCAGCUGCCUCUCAUUUUGUUUAUUCCCCAUCACUGUGAUUCUCACAACAGAACAGUUUGCUGUUUAUACCAUUGUUUAUAGCAUUAGCUAUAAAAUAAGCUGCUUUGAUUCUUUUUAGUAAAGCCAAAAUUACUUCUGUUAAAGUUUCCUGGAAGUGUGUAGCUGAGUUUGUCUGUAAAUGCUUUGGCUCUUGUUGAUGUUUACGCUCUAGAACUCAACCCCACAAUGCUGUUGGUGAUGUGGAGGCUUUAGUUGCAGCCACACUGAUGGCAGUAGCCUUUGCUUCCUGCUCUGUCAAGAACCCUUUUGGUGGAAGAAGUUGAGAGGUUCAGUGCUCAAAAGAAUCUUGUCUAAGAGCAGAUGAGAUGAACGCUCCAUUAAGAGACACUGCAGACAAAUAUUUUACUUGCAGAGAAAUGAUAUUUAUGCCGUGGUAGUGUCACAGGUGAAAUGCAGGCCUGAACAGUCUUCUUUCCAAGAGUUAAGAAUCCCUGUGCCGUUGCCAGAGAGGGGGCAGAAGGCCAUGCUGUGAGGCCAGGUUUCAGACUGAGACAUUACAUACAGUGUCUAAUCCUGUAAACCAUAAAAAUCUCAUGUGAAUAGUGCCAUUGAUAAAGCUUGCAGGCUUUCUAAAAUUGUUUGUUGAUUUCAAGGCGGUUGACCAGAAGUGAGUAAGGAAUCACAGUUCUUUUGAUGGAAGAAAAAAACUUGUUUGCUGGAUCUUUCAUAAGAAGACCAAAGCUGCCAUACAAGGAGGGAAAGAAACAUUUUCUUUGUAGUUUCAAUGACAAUGUUCAUGUGCAUUGGCUUUGUUUCCUGGCAAAUCAUACAUUGGCCAGGUGUGGACCAAAGUAUAUCCUGUUGAUGCUGAAUACAGUAAUUUUUUUUUAGCUAUCCUUUCAUUUUGAGGUGAGGAGAAAAAAAUACAUUUUAGAGCAUUAAAUUAUGGUUGAGUGUGAUUGAUUACAUCUGUAUUUGUUUUCUUAAUCUAUAACUCAUUUUUCUCUUGGCAUAAUUUGUCUUAUGUGCCAAGAUGUUAGGAAGAUGUUUGUAUAGUAGUUAUAAAUCUUAUUUUAAUGCUAGAGAAGGGAAUGAAUAAGUAAUACCAAAUCUGUCUUAACUUUUUAUAUACCCUCCUGGUUACUGAGGACUUCCAUAAAAGGUUAGAUCUUUGUAUACCUCAAAGAUAUACUGGUGUGUUGUACUUUUAACCGUAUCUGUCUCUAGUACAGGAGUAGGUGUUUAGCUGUGCAAAUCAUGAGCAAACAUUUUGAAUAUUGCUCUGCAAGUGUUAGCUCAUUCUAGUCAUCUUUGGGGCUGCUGUUUGUGUAUGUUUGGGGCCUUGGGCAAAGAUGUGCAUCAACUGACCAGUGCUGUUAGGAGAGUGUGGAGGGAUAGACCAAGAAUUGAGCAAAUAAGGAAGGUAAUGUUAAUGAAAUUUGUCAGAAUGCAGUAAUUCAUUACUACUCUUGACAACAUUUGGUGGCAUUGCACCUGGCACACUAGUUUUAACAAGUGCAUCAUCCAGAAUACCUCAUUACUUCAUGGAGAAAAAAUUGUCCUACAGAGUCCUUCAGCUUAGAAGGUGGUCAUCGGCAAGUCCAGUACUGAAACCAGAAGAAUUAAACCAGAAAUAAAAUGUAUAGAGUCAUUGAAAAUGCUUACAUAAGCAUGAGUGGUUAUUCAAUUACAAAAUGCCUUUAAUUUAGUAAAAUACCUGCUGUUUUGGAAGGGCUGGAAUUCAAAUAAAGGUUGCCUUGGGACUUAAACUCUAUUAAAAAGACUUGUGAAUAAUUACCUGAAGUAAAUGUUACUGAGCUCAACUCAUGAGGCCUGAUGUACGUUGGCUAAAUGUUCCUUAUAACAGGUCUUAUAAAUCCAGAGACUUCUACUUUCAAAUGUCCAUAAAAUCUUGAGAAAUUAAGUUUUAGAUUAAGGCCUUGAUGAAUUAAAAUAAUCCAAUACAGGCUUUAAAAUCUGCACGACUCCUAUAAUAAAAGUUGGGUGUUUUAUUUUCAGAAAAGCACUACAGAAAUCUCAUUUAAAAAUCUGAAAAUUAAUGCUGUAUCUUGGAAGACGAG